AAUUGUCUUGAGAGAUGUAGAGUCAUUUGUAUCAAUCGAGAAUCUAAAGGGAAGAGUUGGGAGAAGUGCAAAUCCUUAAAUAUUUUCAUAUCUUCCCUUUUCCCUGAUAGGUAUUCAUCCCACACAUUAUUUAUCUUUUCUUUCACUAUCAAUGCUUUUGCUAUCAUCUAUCCAGAUUCACAUGGCAGCCUGAAGACAACAACAACAUUUCCCUUCUCUCUUCCAUUUUAUCUCUUAUCCUCUCUCUUUGACUAUCAAACCCUAAAAUCAGCCGCUUCCACCUUCAAAUUCGCUUCACUCCCUCUUCGAAAUCCAUUUCCCUCCCCGAUGUAUCUUCAGUUCAUGAAAUAUGGGUGAGCGGUAGAAAGCUCGAGCAUGGUGUCAUAAUUUGAAGAAGCCUGUCAAGAAGGAUCUAGCAAUGACUGAAGAAGUGACACUUACAGGAAAAAUUAUUUAAUUUUUCUUUUUAAAUUGAGAAAAUUGAAAUAUUUUUGUUCAAAAUUUUUGGAUACAAAAACUUUUGAUACUUGGAAGAUUUUUGUUGGCUUGAAUCAAGUUUUCGCAUUUCGAUUACUAAUUGCCGACGAAUUCCAUCCUCUUCUUUCUCAUUUGAUUUAUCUACUAUGGAAUUGUUGUUGUAUUGUUAUUUAUUGUUGUGGCAGGUUGUGAUUCAUGAAUCAGCAUCGAAUUGUUACUAUAAUUUAUGCUUCGCGACUAUACACGCCAAGUGCUCGACAAAUAUCCUCAAUCAAUUUCUCAAAAGUCCAAAUCACCGUACAUGGAAAUUGGAAAUAAGUUAAAAAUUGGAAUAGAUUAAGUUUAUCUAUCAAUUUUUAAGACAAAGGUUGUCACCGAAGAUGUGAAGAUCGAUCUCUUCGAAGACGAGGAUGAGUUCGAAAUCAAUGAAGAUAUAAAUUUUGUGAGAUAAUCAAUUGCAUAAAGAUGGUGGAAGAUGGUGGAAGUUGUUGUGAAUGAGUUAUAUGAUUUUAUUUGUAAGAAUUGUGGUGGUUUGGAUUUUCAAUUUCAUAAGUUUUGUUGUAUAAAUUGCAGAGUGUACAAAGGAGUUCUUGGAUUAUCUGUCAAUCUCUAUACUUCAAUUUGUAGGAAUUGUGGUGGUUUGAAUUUUCAAUUUCAUAAGUUUUGUUGUAUAAAUUGCAGAGUGUACAAAGGAGUUCUUGGAUUAUCUAUCAAUCUCUAUACUUCAAUUUGUAGGAAUUGUGGUGGUUUGGAUUUUCAAUUUCAUAAGUUUUGUUGUAUAAAUUGCAGAGUGUACAAAGGAGUUCUUUGGAUUAUUUGUCAAUCUCUAUACUUCCUAAAGGUUGAGUUAGCUACUAACUGCUAUUUUAUUUGAAUAAAAGGCUGUUCUUAUAGCAACCUCAGCAUAAUCUAUUCAAAUUGAAGGAGUCACCCCUUUCUUCUAUUCUAUAACUGGUCUCACUCUUGAAAUUUUCCAAACUUGCAUGUUUAUAUACCUACCUCAAUUUGUUUUUCACUUAAUUAUU